GGCGGAGACCACAAUUCCCGGCAUUCGUGGGGCAGGGAGGAGUCGGCCUCCCGGAAUCCUGGUCCCGGCGUGCACUUCUGAAGGACUUCAGGCACCCUUUCUUGGGCCGCGAGGUCCCUAUCUCGAACGGCUCAGGAUUCGUGGUGGCUGCCGAUGGGCUCAUUGUCACCAACGCCCAUGUGGUGGCUGAUCGGCGCAGAGUCCGUGUGAGACUGCUAAGCGGCGACACGUAUGAGGCCGUGGUCACAGCUGUGGAUCCCGUGGCAGACAUCGCAACGCUGAGGAUUCAGACUAAGGAGCCUCUCCCCACGCUGCCUCUGGGACGCUCAGCUGAUGUCCGGCAAGGGGAGUUUGUUGUUGCCAUGGGAAGUCCCUUUGCACUGCAGAACACGAUCACAUCCGGCAUUGUUAGCUCUGCUCAGCGUCCAGCCAGAGACCUGGGACUCCCCCAAACCAAUGUGGAAUACAUUCAAACUGAUGCAGCUAUUGAUUUUGGAAACUCUGGAGGUCCCCUGGUUAACCUGGUGAGUGAGACAUCCUUCCUUCCAAGAAUCCCUGCCCCAGGAUGGGGAGGUGAUUGGAGUGAACACCAUGAAGGUCACAGCUGGAAUCUCCUUUGCCAUCCCUUCUGAUCGUCUUCGAGAGUUUCUGCAUCGUGGGGAAAAGAAGAAUUCCUCCUCCGGAAUCAGUGGGUCCCAGCGGCGCUACAUUGGGGUGAUGAUGCUGACCCUGAGUCCCAG
rnacentral:lncRNA from 1 species